CCAGGCUCUUUCCACUACGCUCAUCGCUGGAGGAGCGUAGUGGAAAGAGCCUGGAU
rnacentral:miRNA from 1 species